rnacentral:snoRNA from 1 species
UUACUAUGGUGGUUGCAUAGUUCAGCAGAUUACAUCAUGAAGAAAUAUUUGAUUUGUCUGAUGUAAAA